GGGGAAUUUUGGACAAUGGGCGCAAGCCUGAUCCAGCCAUGCCGCGUGCAGGAUGAAGGCCUUCGGGUUGUAAACUGCUUUUGUACGGAACGAAAAGGUCUUUUCUAAUAAAGAAGGCUGAUGACGGUACCGUAAGAAUAAGCACCGGCUAACUACGUGCCAGCAGCCGCGGUAAUACGUAGGGUGCGAGCGUUAAUCGGAAUUACUGGGCGUAAAGCGUGCGCAGGCGGUCUUGCAAGACAGUGGUGAAAUCCCCGGGCUCAACCUGGGAACUGCCAUUGUGACUGCAAGGCUGGAGUACGGCAGAGGGGGAUGGAAUUCCGCGUGUAGCAGUGAAAUGCGUAGAUAUGCGGAGGAACACCGAUGGCGAAGGCAGUCCCCUGGGCCUGUACUGACGCUCAUGCACGAAAGCGUGGGGGGCAAAC
rnacentral:rRNA from 1 species